rnacentral:rRNA from 1 species
AUUGAACGCUGGCGGCAGGCUUAACACAUGCAAGUCGAACGAGUGGCGGACGGGUGAGUAAUGUCUGGGAAACUGCCCGAUGGAGGGGGAUAACUACUGGCAACGGUAGCUAAUACCGCAUACCAUCGGAUCUGCCCAGAUGGGAUUAGCUAGUUGGUGGGGUAACGGCUCACCUAGGCAACGAUCCCUAGCUGGUGUGAGAGGAUGACCAGCCACACUGGAACUGAGACACGGUCCAGACUCCUACGGGAGGCAGCAGUGGGGAAUAGUGGACAAUGGGCGAAAGCCUGAUGCAGCCAUGCCGCGUGUAUGAAGAAGGCCUUCGGGUUGUAAAGUACUUUCAGCGGGGAGGCGUUACCCGCAGAAGAAGCACCGGCUAACUCCGUGCCAGCCGCCGCGGUAAUAC